rnacentral:tRNA from 1 species
GCGCGUGUAGCUCAGUUGGCAGAGCAGCUGACUCUUAAUCAGCGGGUCACAGGUUCGAGCCCUGUCACGCGUACCA